rnacentral:rRNA from 1 species
UACGUAGGGGGCAAGCGUUGUCCGGAUUUAUUGGGCGUAAAGAGCUCGUAGGCGGUCUGUCGCGUCGGAUGUGAAAACCCAGGGCUCAACCCUGGGCCUGCAUUCGAUACGGGCAGACUAGAGUGUGGCAGGGGAGACUGGAAUUCCUGGUGUAGCGGUGAAAUGCGCAGAUAUCAGGAGGAACACCGGUGGUGAAGGCGGGUCUCUGGGCCAAUACUGACGCUGAGGAGCGAAAGCGUGGGGAGCGAACAGG